GCGUGGAAAAACAAACGUAAGCCCAGGUGCCCGCGCACCCGGAAGGAGAGAAUGCGGGAAGCGAACAGAUUUCAUCUCCAGAUUCACUCUAUAAUGUCAAGAUGACUCCCAGCUGCUGCUGGGCCAGGAGUCUUCUUUUUCCAUAUCCAGCAGGAUAAAGUGGGAAAUGACUCUCAGGAAUCCAGGAAAAGUUAGCAGCUCACUCCG
rnacentral:lncRNA from 1 species